rnacentral:rRNA from 1 species
GACGAACGCUGGCGGCGUGCUUAACACAUGCAAGUCGAACGAAGUGGCGAACGGGUGAGUAACGCGUAAUCAACCUGCCCUUCAGAGGGGGACAACAGUUGGAAACGAAUGCUAAUACCGCAUACUGAAGGACGGGAUUGCGUUUGAUUGGCUAGUUGGAGGGGGAACGGCCCACCAAGGCGAUGGUCAGUAGCCGGUCUGGGGGGAGGAACGGCCCAAAUGGGAACUGGGACAGGCCCAGAAUCCUACGGGAGGCAGCCGUGGGGAAUCUUCCGAAAUGGACGAAAGUCUGACGGAGCAACGCCGCGUGAGUGAUGACGGCCUUCGGGUUGUAAAGCUCUGUUAAUCGGGACGCGGUACCGGAAGAGAAAGCCACGGCUAACUACGUGCCAGCCGCCGCGGUAAUUC